rnacentral:tRNA from 1 species
CCAUCGGUGGUUUAGUGGUAGAAUGCUCGCCUGCCACUCGGGCGGCCCGGGUUCGAUUCCCGGCCAAUGCA